AAUUCUUCAAAUAAAUGAAUUACCCUAUAUAAAUUUCUCAUCCAAACACACCAUUUUUAAAAUAUAGUGUGUUUGGAUGAGAAAUUUAUAUAGGAUAAUUCUUAAAUUAAAUUUUAUAAAAAUA
rnacentral:miRNA from 1 species